rnacentral:tRNA from 6 species
GCCGGGGUGGCCGAGCGGCCUAAGGCGGCGGCCUGCAGAGCCGCUUAUCCGUGGGUUCGAAUCCCACCCCCGGCU